rnacentral:rRNA from 1 species
UUUUCGUGGGGGAUAACGUAGGGAAACUUACGCUAAUACCGCAUACGACCUACGGGUGAAAGUGGGGGACCGCAAGGCCUCACGCGAUUAGAUGAGCCGAUGUCCGAUUAGCUAGUUGGCGGGGUAAUGGCCCACCAAGGCGACGAUCGGUAGCUGGUCUGAGAGGAUGAUCAGCCACACUGGAACUGAGACACGGUCCAGACUCCUACGGGAGGCAGCAGUGGGGAAUAUUGGACAAUGGGCGCAAGCCUGAUCCAGCCAUACCGCGUGGGUGAAGAAGGCCUUCGGGUUGUAAAGCCCUUUUGUUGGGAAAGAAAUCCUAUCGGUUAAUAACCGGUGGGGAUGACGGUACCCAAAGAAUAAGCACCGGCUAACUUCGUGCCUAGCUAGCCGCGGUAAUACGAAGGGUGCAAGCGUUACUCGGAAUUACUGGGCGUAAAGCGUGCGUAGGUGGUGGUUUAAGUCUGCUGUGAAAAGCCCCUGGGCUCAACCUGGGAAUUGCAGUGGAUACUGGAUCCACUAGAGUGUGGUAGAGGGAUGCGGAAUUUCUGGUGUAGCAGUGAAAUGCGUAGAGAUCAGAAGGAACUAUCCGUGGCGAAGGCGGCAUCCUGGGCCAACACUGACACUGAGGCACGAAAGCGUGGGG